AAGGAUUUAAGUUAAGAAAACUAAUAGCCUUCAAAGCUUUAAAUGAUCACAGUCAAUCCUUG
rnacentral:tRNA from 1 species